rnacentral:lncRNA from 1 species
GUCCCCAGUGGUUUGCACACAUCUAGAUGAUGCACCAUGGUCAGACGGGGGUGGAGUGAAAAGGGAACCCUACUUGGAAAGCUUAUAAUCCGAACAUGGCAGGUGGAUCGGCGUGCCCAGGAGGGGCCCUUGGCAGAAGUGAGAGCAGUGAGAAAGAUCUCUGAACACCUUCCUGCUCCCUCCCAUCUCGGCUUAAUGUGGCUCCAGGCUGAGCAGUGACAGAGACCUACCUAAUCACACCUGUCCAGCACAUGAAGAGCUGUUUGCCAACAGAGCGAGAAGACGAGAUUUUAAUCUUCAUUUUUUAAAUCCUUGGGGAUAAAGCAAAUGAGCCUGGAUUAAAAGCAGCAGGAAGGAUCUGGGCUCCAAAUCAGGAAGAAUUGCCAAACCGGCAGUGAGAACGCGGAACUUGGGCAUGACCCGGCAGGAGCGGUGGGACAGGCCCCUACUGGGAAGUCCUGAGCACAAACGCAAUUCCUGAGUCAGCUGGAUUUAUGGGCCGAGGCUGAGCCUAACCCCGGAGGGAUGGCCUACCACCGUUGCCGGGCCAGUAUAAGUCACUCCAUGAUGUCUCCUGAGUUUCAGUGUGGCUGGCUUCUGGAUUGUGGCCACAUGUGUCUGGAGAACUAUGUUCCUGGUUCAAGUCCCAGAGAAAGGCAGGAAGGUGGGCGGACCCAGGUGGCUAAGGACGAAUUUGGGCUGGGCACAGGAUGGGGCGAUCAGGUGGUAAAUUACUCCGAGCUCUUGGCUGCAAACAACAGACCCCGCUGUGGCGAGUGUGAACAGAAAAGGCUUUCGGGAGCCCCUGAGAAUCGCGGUGAGGACGCCAGGCCAGGUUGGAGAGCUGGGACAAGGCAGAGCUGCUGUGAGGAGACGUCACUGCCAUCCCGAUGGAGUGUGGGCCACGUGUGGCUGCUUGCAGGGCUGUUGCUGCCUAGGGCAGUGGGGGCUUCUGACACCCUCCCCCCAAACUGGCCGUCACUUCCCAACUUGUGA